ACCAAACUGCUCUCCAACCAUGCUAUAAAAACUCGGAUUAGUCAUGCGUCUCGUCACCAGCCAAUUCACCGGCGAAAGCAAAGAAAUCCAUCAAGAAGAAGCCAUGGAGCAGAAGCAGAAGCUGUCGCCGCUCUUACUCGUCGGCUUCAUCGUCAUCCUCUGCGCCGGCCCGGGUCACGCCAUGCGCCUUCUGAACGACGCCAACAGCGGCCUGGAGUUCUCCUUCGGCUCCAAGGCGGCGACGGCAGGCGCGGAGACGGAGCCGCUGGACCCGUCCCUGGGCGACGACUACGAGACCGAGAACGAGAUCAGCCACGUGGAGUUCGAGCCGGAGGUCGGCAGCGCGGCGCCGUACUCGUACGCCAUGGCCGCGGCGCCCGUCCCCGUCCCCGCGGUCACCGUCGCCUCCACCGCCGCUGCGGGGCCGGCCACGGAGCCUGUGAGGGCCCGGAACGCCGGCACCGCCGCCGGCAGCCGCAGCAUGAAGUGGUGGCUGCCGCCGUCGACCAUGCCGUCGUUCCCGCUGUUCCCGAACCCCGGCGGCAUGCCCGCCAUCCCGGGGCUCCCGCUGCCCGUGCCCGGCAUGCCGUUCCACCCCAUCGGCGGCUGGGCCGCGCCCGCGCCUCCCGCCCCGUCGCAGCCGGCGCCUCCUGCCACAGAGGCCGCGAACACGAACGCCAACAACGACCCCAACGCGAACGGAGGAGGCGUCAACUGACCAAAAGGCUUGCUGCUGCUUGCGUUGCGUAUGCUGCGACGGUGCUAGAGCUCACCAUUCCGUUUUCAGAUUUUAUUAGGGUACUGCAACUGCUACCCGUAAUCGUAUCUUGGCGUGGGGAUCGCCUCAAAUGCUGAACGUGAUUGGAAGCAUGAACUAGUAAUCGUAUGUGUUUGUUGCUCCAACACAUGUGAAAUGAGCACAAACUUUUAAACGUUUGAUAUAUAAUAUUGUUUGUUUGAAUUGAAGAGAACCGCACCUGCUUUUACCGCUACAAAUAAUUAUUGUGCUGUUGCAGUCAACAUUAGAUACAUGGAUCUUGUAUGUUCCAAGACGGUACAUAAGUUAAUCAAUGAUCCCAAUCAAGAAAAGUGAGA
rnacentral:lncRNA from 1 species